AGCCAGGUCCAACAAGAUUCUGCUUGGAAAAGGGUCUGUGGUCAACGCUCACGGAGUAAAGACCAAACGUGUAAACAGGUUAACACUGUGACCAAGACUGAAGCGUUACAUAGACUCAUAAGCAGGUCACUCUGAAAGGAGCAGCCUCCUGUACCAUCUUCUCUAAACACCAUAAUAUCCCACCUCACCUCCAACCCAAAGCAAUGGACCCUGAUGACCUUGGACUAAGAGCUCUGAAACCAUGAGCCAGAAUUAACAUUUCCUCCUUUAAAUAUUUUCUCUUGGGUGUUUACCAAAGUGAUGUCAAUUUGACUAACACAGUUCAAGAUCCCUGAAGCACCAGAACAUGCUUACUAUUUUUUUGGAACUUCACACACAGCAACUGAGAGACCAGAUAACUGCCCCAAAGCACCAAAACCAGUGUGAUAUCCCAGAGCCAUGCUCUUAAGGCUCACCCCUACUGCCACACAUGCAUAGUUGCAAGUCUAUUCUCAAAAACGAAUAAAAGUAUCUUUCAAUGUUCUCUGUUUUAUGAAAACCUUCCAUAAAUACAGAGGUAUAACCCCAAA